UGGGGAAUUUUGGACAAUGGGGGAAACCCUGAUCCAGCCAUCCCGCGUGUGCGAUGAAGGCCUUCGGGUUGUAAAGCACUUUUGGCAGGAAAGAAACGUCGCGGGUUAAUACCCCGCGAAACUGACGGGUACCUGCAGAAUAAGCACCGGCUAACUACGUGCCAGCAGCCGCGGUAAUACGUAGGGUGCAAGCGUUAAUCGGAAUUACUGGGGCGUAAAGCGUGCGCAGGCGGUUCGGAAAGGAAAGAUGUGAAAUCCCGAGAGCUUAACUUUGGGAACUGCAUUUUUAACUACCGGGCUGAGUGUGUCAGAGGGAGGUGGAAUUCCGCGUGUAGCAGUGAAAUGCGUAGAUAUGCGGAGGAACACCGAUGGCGAAGGCAGCCU
rnacentral:rRNA from 1 species